rnacentral:sRNA from 1 species
AUGUUCUAGAUUAUUCUAGUAAGCAAGAGAGAUGGCUGGAGCAUGCUAGACAAUUCUAGCAUGUUAUAAAGUUGAUGGAAGAAGCUAGAGAGUACUAGCUUCCUUGGUUGCAAAUGGAAAGAUCUAGAAGCCACACUUUUGUGGCUAGUCUAGAUCUUUCUAUGCUAGAGGUUUGAAGAAUACACUAGAAACUAGUAGAAUGCCAAACCCUCACCUAUAAAUAUGGGUGUGAUGUUGUAGUGAACCAACCAAUCAAGAGAGUAGUGAGUAGCAAAGGAUCAAGUCCAAAGCUAGAGUUCCACUCCAAGAAUGAGAGUGAGAGUGUUCCACUACACAUUGUUGAGAGUGUUCCACUACACAUUGUGUGAGUGAAGUUUAGAAGGAUAGAAAGUGUGUGUCAUACUUUCUUGUAUCCAUCAAGCCUUGUCUUUGGCUUGGUAAGACUACUCUUGUUGUAUUCAUUUUUUUCAUAUAGUGAAGAUUCCUUGUUUGGUGGACGUAGGCAUAAAUUGCCGAACCACAUAAAUUCUUGGCGUCCAUUUUCUACUUUACCUUGUGCAUUCUCUAUCUUGUAGUACCGACAUUCCUAACAAAAAUUGCG